rnacentral:rRNA from 1 species
GGAGUCUAACAUGUGCGCGAGUCAAUGGGAGUUUUCUAAACCCAAAGGCGGAAUGAAAGUGAAGCCGGGGGGCGUGGUUGACCACUGCGCCCGCUCGGCGAGGGAGGAUGGCACGGGGCGCGCGCUCUUGCAGAGGGGCGCGCGUCACUACUCCGGCCCGCACUCCCGGGGCGUCGUUCGCGGCGCACCUAGAGCGCACACGUUGGUACCCGAAAGAUGGUGAACUAUGC